UGUCGCUUUCUCGUCGUUUGUAGAUACAUGUUUUGUUGCUAUAAACCACGAAAAUCACUAAAUUCACUAAAAUCACUCAACUGAACUAUUGGUGCUUCUUAGUGCUCCUACUCAUGUCGGUAUAACUAAUUUGUUUAAUGGCUCAAUGAGAUAAUUGAGCACUACACCAAUUCAUAACAACAGAGAACUUAGUCAUUGUACAUGCUCUCGCUUUGUGUGCCGAGCGUAAAAUAGUGUUAGUGCAUAUGUGUGAAUAUUCUGCAAUGAAUAAUAUCCACUAACACUAUUUCUUGUGUUAUUCAACCAAUUACUUAAAAACACGAAUAAUUGCAGUUCCCUGAUCCCGAGCUAAUAAAAGGAAGCUUAUUCGUUUGCAGACUAGAAAAAUGGCGAACAGCCAUCAAAAUACUGAUUCAAAAUACACAUCUUUCACUGGACACACAAAUGGGUGCGCGCAGCAAAAUUCAGCCCUAAUGGCGAAUGUAUGCGAACGUUCACCGGGGGAAGAGGUAUGGG